rnacentral:rRNA from 1 species
UGGAGAUUUGAUCCUGGCUCAGGACGAACGCUGGCGGCGUGCUUAACACAUGCAAGUCGAACGAUGAAGCCCUUCGGGGUGGAUUAGUGGCGAACGGGUGAGUAACACGUGGGCAAUCUGCCCUUCACUCUGGGACAAGCCCUGGAAACGGGGUCUAAUACCGGAUAACACUCUGUCCCGCAUGGGACGGGGUUGAAAGCUCCGGCGGUGAAGGAUGAGCCCGCGGCCUAUCAGCUUGUUGGUGGGGUAAUGGCCUACCAAGGCGACGACGGGUAGCCGGCCUGAGAGGGCGACCGGCCACACUGGGACUGAGACACGGCCCAGACUCCUACGGGAGGCAGCAGUGGGGAAUAUUGCACAAUGGGCGAAAGCCUGAUGCAGCGACGCCGCGUGAGGGAUGACGGCCUUCGGGUUGUAAACCUCUUUCAGCA